AAAAAUGUAGCAUAAAUUAAUGCAAUUCACUUACACUGAAUAUAUACUUUACAUAAAAAGUCAUUUUUA
rnacentral:tRNA from 1 species